rnacentral:rRNA from 1 species
AUUGAACGCUGGCGGCAUGCCUUACACAUGCAAGUCGAACGGUAACAGGUCUUCGGAUGCUGACGAGUGGCGAACGGGUGAGUAAUACAUCGGAACGUGCCUAGUAGUGGGGGAUAACUACUCGAAAGAGUGGCUAAUACCGCAUGAGAUCUACGGAUGAAAGCAGGGGAUCGCAAGACCUUGUGCUACUAGAGCGGCCGAUGGCAGAUUAGGUAGUUGGUGGGAUAAAAGCUUACCAAGCCGACGAUCUGUAGCUGGUCUGAGAGGACGAUCAGGCACACUGGGACUGCGACACGGCCCAGACUCAUACGGGAGGCAGCAGUGGGGAAUGUUGGACAAUGGGCGAAAGCCUGAUCCAGCAAUGCCGCGUGCAGGAUGAAGGCCUUCGGGUUGUAAACUGCUUUUGUACGGGACGAAAAGCCCUGGGUUAAUACCCUGGGGUCAUGACGGUACCGUAAGAAUAAGCACCGGCUAACUACGUGCCAGCCGCCGCCGUAA